GUUUUUAUUUCAGGAUUUGUUUACAUUUUCCUUGGCUGGACGGGGUCUCGUACUGUCUUCUAAGCAGAUGUGCCCCUUAUACAAAGAUGAAUGAAAUGAAUGAAUUCAGUGGAUGGAUGAAUGAAAAGGAUGCACGCACUGAGGGAUAAAGAAAUCGAAUUAAAGCAAAUUCUUUGUUACUUCUUCAUUCAUUCAAAGUUAGCACUAUAGUUUACUUACUGAACUGCCUGAGCUGUCUGUGGAAGUGUCGUCAUCAUCCCCUUAAAAAAAGAGAAAGAUCAAGAAGGGAAAAUAAAAUGAACUGUCAGCCUGUCAACUGUGAGAUAGAAGGUAAAUUCAUAAAUGGAUGCCUGCCAAAUCCAUUUAUGAAUCGCAAUCCCAAAAUGAAUGGUGCCAUGCUAAAUAUUAACAUCCAUCGUCUAAUUUGACUAGCUGGUUAAACGGAACAGAGUUGUGGUAAAUGGCAGGACGCAUUAUCAUGGAAAUUGAGUUGGGAUCGGGCAUUGAGUUGGAUGGAAACUUCACUAUCGAAGAAUGCACCCGUGGAAUGAGAUGUGAAAUAGAAGCAGCUGUACCAUAGACAUUACUGGUGCCAGGGGUGGGCUGCUGGUAUUGAGGGAAUGUGUAGUUAUUGCUUGCUUGGGAGGUGGCUGUGUUAUGAAAGUCCUGCAGCCGAACAUUGCUUCCAUUGUUCUGUUCAGUAAGUGUAACACCUGCAAUUAAUAAAAAAAAAAUGAUACAUC